AAUCAACGCUGGCGGCGUGCCUCAGACAUGCAAGUCGAACGAUUAAGACUCUCUUCGGAGAGUGUAUAAAGUGGCGCACGGGUGAGUAACACGUAGGUAAUGUACCGAAGGGUGGGGAAUAACUUAGGGAAACUUAAGCUAAUACCGCGUAAUGCAGCGGCUCGACAUCGAGACAGUUGUUAAAGGAGCAAUCCGCCUUUUGAGCAGCCUGCGGCAGAUUAGCUAGUUGGUAAGGUAAUGGCUUACCAAGGCUACGAUCUGUAACCGACCUGAGAGGGUGGUCGGUCACACUGACACUGAAUAACGGGUCAGACUCCUACGGGAGGCAGCAGUCGGGAAUUUUGGGCAAUGGGCGAAAGCCUGACCCAGCAACGCCGCGUGAAGGAUGAAGUAUUUCGGUAUGUAAACUUCGUAAGAAUAGGAAGAAUAAAUGACGGUACUAUUUGUAAGGUCCGGCUAACUACGUGCCAGCAGCCGCGGUAAU
rnacentral:rRNA from 1 species